GUGUCCCCACGUACGUUCGGGUUCCUCCGCGCCGUUCGCAGCCACCUGACGACUGCCCGCUACGUUUUGUGAGCC
rnacentral:sRNA from 1 species